GACUACCCCCAUUUUCUCUCGCUCUCAACCCUAGUCGCCUCUCAUCACCAAAUCCAUCUCUGCCGGCGGCCAAGCUUCAAACUCCCUCAAAUUAAUACCCUACAAUCCUCGUCUUCUCCCCAUCCCAUAUCUCUUCUUAAUUUCAUUCAAAACAUCAUAGAUUUCCUUUAUUUUCCAAUCUGAGAAAUUUCAAAACCUAGUUUUAUUCCUCUUCGAUUUCUUCAGUGAUUCUUAAUCGUUUUGACUUGAAACUGUCAUUGAUCAAUUGCUCUUGUCAAGAGCAAUCGAUUAAUGUAAGUUUUAGCUCAUUUCGAAGCCAUCAAAAUUCGGCCAAACCACUGUUGGCCGGCAAGUUGCUCGUCAAUUAUUCCGUUCUGCUUCUUUGGCUCGCCGGGAUCGCUUUCAUCAAUCCAUUGGACCUUAAUAGUAAUGUUUGGUAGUAAAAUCGUGAUAAAGAAGAGUCAUCAGUGCAAUGAACACGGCUGCAGUUCAUAAAUUUGGCCACUUAUUGGUCAAAUCUAUAAAUCGCAAAGCCAAACGUUAGAGCAUCAGAGGUUUUUGGAGUCACUGCAAAUCAGCUCACUCAGAUAUAAGUGUGAAUGUCUAUGUUUGUAAUUGUACUACUAAUUUGAAGGAAAUGUAUUUCAUCAUAUAGCGUAAUUGAGUAGAUAUUGUAAUAAACACUGAAAUUCCUUUAGUUGAUUGUUAAUCGCCUAUUCCUGUUGGUAUGUAAUAUAUUCUGAAAUUAGUGAAGAUCCAGCCAAACAUGUGAAUAAUAGUUAAUUUCUGUUAA